UGCCAAUCCAACAAGCAAAGCUUGAUUCGAGUUUCAAUUGUAAUCAAGAAACUAAAAAUUUUCGACGUUUUGUUGUUGGAAAGUUGAUAAGUUUGGAAUUAAAAAAUAAUUCUAUUGAAAGACAUCUAAAGCUUAUUAUAGAAAAACUUCCAAUUACUAAUUUUGAAGAAAAAGAAAAUGUUGUAGACAUUUUUCAAGACUUGCCAUUGCAAAAUAAAAAUGAUCUUGACGUAAUCGAAGCAAAACUAAUUAAUGAUAAAAGUUAUCGAAGUCAAAUGAUUAAACAAUUGACUCGUGUUACAUGUAAAGAUAUAAAGACUUCGUG